GGAGAGAUGUCAGAGCGGCCGAACGAGCACGCUUGGAAAGCGUGUGUACAGCAAUGUACCGAGGGUUCGAAUCCCUCUCUCUCCGCCA
rnacentral:tRNA from 1 species